CACGCUUUGCGGCGGGUAAAUAAUAUUUUAUCAAAUUUAAAUAUUUUAAUUUAUAUAAGUUUUAAUAAAUAAUUUGUGGUAUUUUAGCAAAUUUAAAAAUUUUAAUUUAUACCCAAUCCAAACGGGCCUAAGUGUAUCAAAUAUGAUACAGGGGAUUAUUUUCUGCCUAUAUAAAAAUAUGUACUAUAUUAUAUAUGUGUAAUAAUAAAUUAUCUAUAGAUGAACAUAUCAAAUCUUGGUGGCAUUGUGUAUUAAAAAUUAAUAGAAAAAUAUAAAGAAAAAAAAACCAAUUGGUUAACUUACACUAAGUUUUUAAUUGAUUAUCUUAUUCUCUAAUCAAAUGAAUAUAUUAAUUUGAUCAGAGAAAUCUACUUUUUCCAUGAAGGAUAAUGAUGUGAAUUGGCUAAAAAUAUAAAAAACUGGGACGCUAUGAAUGCAUGACAAAAAAAAAAGAAAAGGAGAAUAAGGUAAUCUAAUUGGGAAAGCAAGAAAAGAAACAAUAUUAUUGACCAAAAACCUAACAAAUUUUUCACUCUACUCUAGCCAAUAUUUAUAGUGUGCUUAUAAUUGUAAAUUUUUAUAACUGUUAUCUAUGAAAAAGAAAAGACAAUAUAGAAAAGAGUAAAUGAUGAAUUUAAUUUUCUUAUUUAAUUUCUAUUUGAUGAACUGCCAAACUAAAAAAAAUAUUAUUGAUAACUUUAUUUAAAGAUUCCACCCUUAGAAAAAAAAACGGUCAAAUUAAAUGUGCAUUAAUUUAUAAAUUUUUAUUUGUUUAAAGUAGAGAAUGAAGUUAAUUACUAUCGAUUACUAACAAUGGAAGCCAAAAAAAUUAUUAUAUAUAUGACAAUAUUGGAUUAAUUAUAUAUAUUAAUUAUAUAUUAAAGUAUAGUUAUUAUUGUGAUUUAUGAAGCUAAUUACUUUCGGUUACUAAUCAUGAAAGCCAAAAAGAUUAUUGACAAUAUUAGGUUAAUUAUAUGUAUUAAUUAUAUAUUAAACUAUAGUUAUUAUUGUGAUUAUAUAGUUAUAUCAAUUAUUAAUUAUUAAAUUUCUCAUUUUGUUCUUUCAAAGGGGGAUGAAAGAUAACUUGCCAUGUGGCAAGAAUUAUUCUGGCUUCAUAUAGUUUUAUAGAUAUUUAGGAUUAAUUUCAUAUAGAUUUUUGUAAAUAUUGUGAAUUGUAAAUAUAUCACUAUAAAGUUCAACUUUUAUAUAUUGUUUUUAUAAAAAUUCUAAUGUUUUUAAAUAUAUUUCUCUGGUUUGUUACCGUUAAAACAAUGUCUAUUUUAUAGGUGAAAUGACCUGUUUGAUAUUACAAAUAUAUCCCUCAAAAUAUCUCAACUAUUAAUUAAAAAGAAAUAAAAAGAUUAAGACUAAGAUUAAGUAUUACCUAUGGUUACCUAAUUUUUUUUGACGGAUCAUAACGGUAGAAACAUAUUUAAAAUACUUUUGUAAGAAUAACAUAUGAAAGCUGAACUUUACAGGGAUAUAUUUGUAAUUUACUAUCUGUAUAAAAUUAAGCCUAGUAUUUAUUGCCCGGCUUAACACUCUAUUCAUAAUAAGAUAGGUCAGAUCAAAAGGAGUGAAUUUUGAAGAAUCUUUUAGCGAAUCAAAAUAGAUCAUCACCUCUCACUUUAAUUUCUUGACGGAUUGUGGCGGAUUGAGAAUGAAUAACUUUUUCUUUAUUUGUUGCUCCGAGUUGUAGUCUUAUUCGAAGCG
rnacentral:lncRNA from 1 species